UAACACAUGCAAGUCGAGCGGUAACAGAAAGUAGCUUGCUACUUUGCUGACGAGCGGCGGACGGGUGAGUAAUGCUUGGGAACAUGCCUUGAGGUGGGGGACAACAGUUGGAAACGACUGCUAAUACCGCAUAAUGUCUACGGACCAAAGGGGGCUUCGGCUCUCGCCUUUAGAUUGGCCCAAGUGGGAUUAGCUAGUUGGUGAGGUAAUGGCUCACCAAGGCAACGAUCCCUAGCUGGUUUGAGAGGAUGAUCAGCCACACUGGAACUGAGACACGGUCCAGACUCCUACGGGAGGCAGCAGUGGGGAAUAUUGCACAAUGGGCGAAAGCCUGAUGCAGCCAUGCCGCGUGUGUGAAGAAGGCCUUCGGGUUGUAAAGCACUUUCAGUCAGGAGGAAAGGGUGUGAGUUAAUACCUCACAUCUGUGACGUUACUGACAGAAGAAGCACCGGCUAACUCCGUGCCAGCAGCCGCGGUAAUACGGAGGGUGCGAGCGUUAAUCGGAAUUACUGGGCGUAAAGCGUACGCAGGCGGUUUGUUAAGCGAGAUGUGAAAGCCCCGGGCU
rnacentral:rRNA from 1 species